rnacentral:rRNA from 1 species
GACGAACGCUGGCGGCGUGCCUAAUACAUGCAAGUAGAACGCAGUUGCGAACGGGUGAGUAACGCGUAGGUAACUGCCUCAUAGCGGGGGAUAACUAUUGGAAACGAUAGCUAAUACCGCAUACUGUGAGAUAGACCUGCGUUUUAUUGGCUAGUUGGUGAGGUAAAGGCUCACCAAGGCGACGAUACAUAGCCGGCCUGAGAGGGGAAUCAGCCACACCGGGACUGGGGUACGGCCCGGCAUCCUACGGGAGGCAGCAGGACGGAAUCUUCGGGAAUGGACGGAAGUCUGACCGAGCAACGCCGCGUGAAUGAAGAAGGUUUUCAGAUCGUAAAGCUCUGUUGUUAGAGAAGCAGUAACUAAACAGAAAGGGACGGCUAACUACGUGCCAGCAGCCGCGGUAAUUC